AUAUCAAUAAGCGGAGGAAAAGAAACUAACAAGGAUUCCCCUAGUAACGGCGAGUGAAGCGGGAAGAGCUCAAAUUUAAAAUCUGGUUUGCUUGCAAAUCCGAGUUGUAGUCUGAAGAAACGUUUUCCAUGAAAAUCGAGGCACAAGUCCUUUGGAACAGGGCAUCAUAGAGGGUGAGAAUCCCGUCCAUGGUCUCGAAUCUUUCAUUUUGUGAUACGUUUUCUAAGAGUCAGGUUGUUUGGGAAUGCAGCCUAAAAUGGGUGGUAAAUUUCAUCUAAAGCUAAAUAUUGGCGAGAGACCGAUAGCGAACAAGUACCGUGAGGGAAAGAUGAAAAGAACUUUGAAAAGAGAGUUAAAAAGUACGUGAAAUUGCUGAAAGGGAAACGCUUGAAGUCAGUCGCGUUUGCUAGGACUCAGCCUUGCCUCGGCUUGGUGCAUUUCCUGGUUGAACGGGCCAGCAUCACUUUUGGCUGCGGGAAAAAGGUCAGGGGAAUGUGGCACCUCCGGGUGUGUUAUAGCCUCUGGCUGCAUACCGUGGCUGGGAGUGAGGAACUCAGCACGCCUUCAUGGCGGGGCUUCGGCCACCUUCGUGCUUAGGAUGCUGGCGUAAUGGCUUUAAACGA
rnacentral:rRNA from 1 species